rnacentral:rRNA from 1 species
AUUUAACCAGAAAGCCACGGCUAACUACGUGCCAGCAGCCGCGGUAAUACGUAGGUGGCAAGCGUUGUCCGGAUUUAUUGGGCGUAAAGCGAGCGCAGGCGGUUUUUUAAGUCUGAUGUGAAAGCCUUCGGCUCAACCGAAGAAGUGCAUCGGAAACUGGGAAACUUGAGUGCAGAAGAGGACAGUGGAACUCCAUGUGUAGCGGUGAAAUGCGUAGAUAUAUGGAAGAACACCAGUGGCGAAGGCGGCUGUCUGGUCUGUAACUGACGCUGAGGCUCGAAAGUAUGGGUAGCAAACAGGAUUAGAUACCCUGGUAGUCCAUACCGUAAACGAUGAAUGCUAAGUGUUGGAGGGUUUCCGCCCUUCAGUGCUGCAGCUAACGCAUUAAGCAUUCCGCCUGGGGAGUACGGCCGCAAGGCUGAAACUCAAAGGAAUUGACGGGGGCCCGCACAAGCGGUGGAGCAUGUGGUUUAAUUCGAAGCUACGCGAAGAACCUUACCAGGUCUUGACAUACUAUGCAAAUCUAAGAGAUUAGACGU